AAUACUCUCGAUACACAUGAUCUUGAUGUAACAGGUGACAGGAUUGUCUCUAAAUCAGGCCUUUAUAACGACAACUGUGAAAUACAAACAAAACAUCUAAUAUGCCACUCUCCAAAAAAUGUUACACGCCUUCUUGAAGAUCACCACCCAGGUUUCCCUCAUAUCACUUUUCAUGUAUCAUGGUUUCUUUUUUCUUUGUAACAUUUUAGAAUCUCCUUUCGUUCCAUCACUGAGGCGGUAACACAUGGGGAUGAUUUUGCUCAAGCACGCUUAUUCUGGGCCGAGUUGCUCAAGCAACAUGAUAUGUUGGUUGAGCAACUCAUUAUAUUAUGGUGAUGCUAGUUUCCCUGAGCAAGGCCUAAUCCUCCAAUGUCGAUAUUCUUUAAAUUUUAAUGUAUUUCCAAUUUUCCGUCCCGUUUCCCUGUUGAAACCUGAAUUUCCCUAUGACGGAAAUUUUCCUGUAUCUGCAGCAAACAAGAGCGUGUUGGGAUGGACAUUAAUGAGCACAGUUACCAGUUAUUUUCAGAAUACUUUAGAAUAUUAUAAAGUUGGUAGCUUGUGCGUUUCAACAUCCAGUUGAGCACGAAAGUUUGCUUUACCCUUUAAUGAUAUAUCUCUACCCUUUUAAGUUUCCUUUAAGAUUCAAACACAUCUGAAAAUGUAAGUUACCAACUGUUAAAGAGUGGCAGGCAUUAGCUAUAAGGGCAGUCUUAAGCUGGGAGGAUGUAUUGCCAAGUAUUGCCAGCUUGUGACUAGUGGCAGUCCAGCAGCGAAUUGGCAAGUGUGAACCCCCCUUUAUAAGAGCGUCUGAGGCAGAUGUUCACACACAUACAUCGCUUAAUGUAUAUUUGUAUAUAUACAAUUGAGAUUCUCGAAGAAAAUCCUUCAGAGACCAUGGGUAGGACUUGUCUCCUACUGGUGGCAGCAGUAGUGUCGUCAGUCCUCUCCGGCGCUGUGAACGAUGACAGUACAGAAGUCGUUCUCGAGCAAUUCCCAAAAUUUAAGCGAGAGGCCCAUCACUCUGCCGUUACACUGCCAGAAAUGAUGGAAGCGGCAAGUGUUCUAGCUAUGACUGGAGAGUACGGCAACAUGAACAGCAGAAGCUCUGGGGGUGAUAGCGGAGACCGCUUCGGCGCAGAUGGUUUCGAAGAUAAACAAGGAGUGGCCUGUCCAGGUGGUGUCUAUGGUAGAGUAGGAAGCUACAGUGGAGACAAAUACGGAAGUGAUAAAUGCGAAGAGGGAAACAGUCUGUGGAAAUGAAGGCUCACCUGAACAACUCUCUGAAAGCUCCAGGCACAGAGAGUGCCGCUUCCCAAAAUGCUUCAGUGAGAGAAAACGAGACAAACACUCACCUGAAGCAGUCGUUCACGAGGAACAACUCUCUGAAAGCUCCAGAUACGGAGAGUGCCGCUCCCCAAAAUGCUUCAAUGAGAGAAAACGAGACAAACACUCACCUGAAGCAGUCGUUCACGAGGAACAACUCUCUGAAAGCUCCAGGUACAGAGAGUGCCGCUCCCCAAAAUGCUUCAGUGAGAGAAGACGAGACAAACACUCACCUGAAGCAGUCGUUCACGAGGAACAACUCUCUGAAAGCUCUAGAUAUAGAGAACGCGGCUUCCCACAAUAACACAGAGAACACUGAGUACCGCCCAGGGCACAAGAGACAUGAGAUUUUAGAUAAAUUAAUAAAUCGCCCAUGGUACAUCUCACUAUGAGAGCACCUCCGAAUGAGUCUACUGACUCACAGGAUGAGGUUUUGCCAGCCUCAGUGUCUCAGAAAAUCAUCCUUAAGUUCACAGUAUCAUUUCAUUCUC